GCCCUGCCAGUCCCAAGCCUCUGCCAUUUACCUCUACUGAUUUUACUGCCAAGUUCAGCUCUCUGAAAAGAGAAUAACCAGCCAUGAGCAACAUGUUCUUUUUCUGCAGACUGACAGGGCUGUGCUUUAAUCUCCUCUUGUGUCUCAUAACAGAAGCUUUUAUUACGGUUUUUGCUGACUGUCAGACUAUUCUAAGCCACCGCUCACUAUCCAGUGAGGGGGAGAAGACUUUAGAAUUAUUUACAUUUAGUUGACAAGAAGGAUGUUGAAAAUGAAACGUACAUAUGGAGUCACUGGAAGGAGCAGUGGUCCUGUGAGCAGUGACCUCAGGUCUGAGUAUUGGAGAAGGACUUCCAUUAAGACAGUGUGAAGAAGCUGAUACGUUAUUCCAGUCAAAUCAUGGGAAAAAACAUCAGACAAAUCUCAGUUGAAGGACAUUUUGCAAAAGAGCUGAUCAGUAACUUGAAAAUGUCAGAGAUCAAAAGUAAGAAAAGCCUAAGAAAUUGUUAAACCAAGAGGCUCAAAGGAGACAGGACUACUAAAUGUAGAUAUCUUGAAUGGGACC